UCAUUUUGAUCAACAGCCCAGAUCUUUCCUUUCCUUACUUAAUCGUGAAUGACCCUUAAUCCCUCCCCAAACCCUCUUCUCUCUCAAAUGCUCUCAAAUGCCCUCAAACCCUAAUCACCACCUACCCUUUUCGAUCUCAAAUCCACCGAAAUCCAUGGCUGCUCUAGCCAUGGAUGACCUAUAUUCACCUACCUUCACCCUUAAACCUUGGGUGUUUGAAGUUUCGAGUUCUGACCUCAGCUAUGUCCGUUCAGAUCUUCUCAGAUCCGUGGUUCUAUGGACUCUUACUCCGGCGUGUUCAAGCUUUAGGAGCCUAUCUCUGCCAUCUCCGACUCGAGACCAGACUUUCUUCUAAGCCUUCUCAUUUCUAGGGUUCCUCAAAAACCCUAAAGCUAUUCGAGGUUUUUCUCUGGUUUAUUUCUUAGAUCUAUGUUGUAUCUAUGGUAUAUUCUAGGUUUUAAGCUUUUCCCCCAAUUUUCCUUUCAAAGUUAGUUUGUUUUCGAUUUAGGGUUUCUGAAAAAAGCCUUAAAAUGACUUCUUUCUCUUCUUCUUCUAUUCGUUGUGUGAAUCUGUCUAUUCCAUGUUCUUAUGUUCUCUUUUCCAACUCGCAUGUUCUUUUUCUCUUGUGUUCUAUGUUGCCGUGUUAUGUAUGCUCUUCUAUUUUGUGCUCUGUUCUUUCUUUUACUGAUUUUUAUAGCAUGCUUUUACAUUUCUAUCAAAUUUGUUCCUUUAGUGUAUUUUAUACUGACCUUUUAAUCCUUGUUUGCUUUUACUAGACCUUUAUUUGAACUUUAAGCAUGUUUCAUCUACUGUUUUCCUGGGCUUAUACCGCCUCUUCUCUUCUGAACUUAUUUGAGUGGAAAGCUUUAUUUAAAUGUGUACCAUGUGUUUCAAAAUAGUUUUUGCAUUCCAUUUGCCUUGAGCCUGCUAUGCUAUUUGUUUAUUUUCUCAUAUGUCUCUGAAAAGAAUACUGAGCCUAUUCUAGUUAUAUUGUCUUCUCGUCUAUGCAUAUGAUUCUAGUCAGAAACCCUAGUAUUUGGGGGGGUUCUGGGCAUGCUUGAUUUUAUGUUUUGACUAGGGUUCUAUUCAGAACCAUUGACUCUCUCAGACACAUUCUGAGUCUAUGAACUAAACUCUCUUUGUUAUGAAUCUUAUUGCUUUUUCUAUGCUAGUUUUGUGGUUAACACAACAACUCUUUCUCUUGCCUCACAUGUCUGUAUGAUUAUAUAUGAGAACCCCUCCUUCAAAAGGUCUUUUCCAGCUAAUUAAUUAAUUUCAAAUUCCUUUUAAUGAUUCAUGACUAAUUGUUAGUGAUUUCUCUAAUUGAACCUUCCCUUCCCCUUUUCUUGACCUGGUUCAUUCAAACGAAGCUGUCACUUUGAUUUUUACUAGCUGCAAAUUGAUGCUUUUCCUUAUUUUUCCCAAAUCGUGUACUACUAGACUUUUGCCUUAAAUAAUGUCUUUGUGUAUUUACCCGUAUUAUGUUAAUCUGGAAAAAGGUUCUAGUUAUUUUUUUUCCGUAAUUACCUCAUGCCCGUUUGAAAUCAAAUCCCUUGACUGAAGGGAAAUCAUUGAGACUGAUUUUCAAAGUUAUUUUCUUACCUCUUCCUACUUGUUCUCUUCACUAUAAAAAGACACUUUGUUAACACUGAAAAAGGAAAGAAUUCGACUAAGACUCUGGAGUUGCAUUCUAACAUACACAACAGCAUUAAGCACUCUGCUUUCUACUCUCUUCUUCUCUAUACUUCUACUCUUUGCUUUCUGAAACACCUUUGAGUUGUCUUCGAGCCUUCAAGUGUUCUGCUGAGAAUUUGAGUUUGUUCCUGCCGUUUUCUUAUUCUAACUUUGCAACUGGUAUGUUCUCCUUAGUUUAGAUAAUGCUCCUCACUAUGUGUUUACAUCCUAAGUUUUGUUAUGCUCUUCUUUACUAUGUUCAUGCAAAUUUGUUACUACUUCUCUUAUAUGAACUCUCUUUCCCUUUCCCCCUAUGUAUGUGAGUAUGGUUCAAGACAUAGCAGCACUUUAAAUUGUUGUCUAUGACUCUGAACUGGGUUCUUUGAACCCCAAACUCAAUCAAUUCCCACUCCCCUUUUCCCUUUAUGUGUUUGAACCUUGGACUUGGGUCUAAUGGUGUCCUUAUCAUUAUCCAGACUUAGGUCUGACCUUCAAGCGUGUGCUCCUAACUUGUUUAACCAAACAAGCAGUCAGGGUGUGUCGGCCUACACUUGUGGCUAGGCAGGACCACCAUUUGUAUGGCUCCCCAAUUCCCUUUUCACUUUGCAUUUAAUCUUAGCUAUAAGUUCUGCCCCUCUCUUGUAAGCCAUGCUUUGGGACCCCUGAGCACCCUCUAAACUUGGAUGUAUGAGGGUUUGCUCUUGCACACUGCACUAUUCUAAUUCUAAUGGUCUCCGAGGUGUAAGUAAUGCUGGGAAUCCUUGAGAUUCCUUGGAACAUUGAAAACUUGGGAUAAAGAUAAGGCUUUGGAAAUUUGGAUCCCAUAAAUGGUUAAUCACAUAUUGUUAGGCAUUUAGCCAGACUUAGGUACCUUGGAUGAAACUCUAGUUUUGAUGUAUUACUUUUCAGGUUUGUAAUAAUUUAUAUAAAACUCGGGGAUUAUAGUAAAAGAGGGAUGGUUUUUUACUUUCUUGCAUCGAAAGUGUAGAUAUCAUGAUCUAUGACUUUACUUCUACCAGAAAUCCUGCCCAUAGGCCUGUUUAACAUUUCUGAUUCUAUCACAUAGAGACCAUGCCUAUAGGGUUUAACGUUCAUAUUCUGUAAUUAACACAUAUAAAGAUCAUGCCUAUAGGAUAUGCAUAUUCAUUAGGCAAAAUUCUAGGAUUAAUUAAACAAGCAUCUUUUCACAAGUCCAUUAAACAAGUUCUGAAAAUCAAUAACGUAGAUAUCAUGCCAAUAGAAUUUGCAUCAAAUUCGUUUGCCUGUUUUAAAACAGUAAUAAUUGGCUAUUUGUUUCUUAAAUGCCUAACUCAGUGACGUUUUUCUUAAACUUUAACCUUUGAUAAAUUUCUCUUCAAAACAGUGUACAUUCAUUUUUUUAAAGUCGAGUUCUUCAAAAUUUGCAUCUUUUCUGAAAAGGGUUUUCUAUUGUUUUGCCUUAACAUAUCUUUAAGCUAAGUUUCUAAAUUCAUUAUUUAAAUCAGUUCUGCAACUUACUCUUUUCUUAAGACAAGUUUUGUUUUUUCUCUGAAAUUCUUUUACAACUACUUCUGUGUUUUAUGACUGGACAAUCCGAUGAUCCAUUUUAAAAAAUUCAAAAUAGUUUACUAAGUCUGGAACCUGUUCUUUCUUUCAAAAAACUCUUCCGCAUUAGUUAUCUUCUAAAAUUAGAACAUGCCUAAACAACUCGCAUUCAAAUGCCUUAACUCUGACAAUUGUAUCUAAGUUGCCUAAUGCAGACUUUCUAUCUAAAUAUAUGUAUUGAACUAGUCCGCUCACCGCUUAAUUUUAAUAUAAGACCAAACCAGUAUGUUCCUUGACAUGCUAAACUAAGUGUUUGUCUGAUUUAAGGGGUUUAUUUGAGACUUACUUAUUUGUUUACUCUUCCCUUUAUUUGCUAUUUAUUUUGAAUGUCGAAACUAGAAUUUUAUCCUUUAAACUUUACAAAAGCCCCAUCCCUUUGUUCCCUCUUAGUAUUAGAAGUCCUAAUACCCUGGUACUGAUAAGUUGGGACGGGUAGUAGCAUGCAAUAAGUAAUCGAGACUAAACGCACUUUAAUACCUUAAUGGGGUGGGAAGGGUAGAAUAUGGAUAUGAUGACCGGUGCGCUAAUAUCUAGUGCAACCCCUCUUCUGAGGAGUGAUUGUUGGAUAUUCCAUUUAUCUGAUCUAUAUUAUGUUUAAACCUACCUCUUCUGAGGAGUGAUUGCUGGGUAUUGCAUCGAUUUGAUCCAUAUUGUGUUAAAAUCUAGGACCCCACCCCCUUUUCUUUUUUAUCUACAACGUUUUCUUUAGAUUCUGUUUCCUUUAAUUUAUUCCUUUUCUGAAAAAAACUGUCAAUUCCUUUCUUCUUUUAAAAGCUUUAAACUUAUUUGAAAUUACUAUGUGUAAGCCUUAUUUUUUCUUCUAUCUCCUAAAGCCACAAUUAUAGUAUGGUUGGGAACCACACUAGUGGAUCUUGAGGGGUGUCUAACACCUUCCCCUCGAGAUAAUCUCUAAGCCCUUACCCAAACUCUGGUUUCUUCUUUUUCAUUCCUUUGAAAGUGUCCUAAUGCACUAUAAUCAUUAGAUGGCGACUCUCAAAAACUCCAAAACCCAAUUAUCACAAGGGAUACCCGAUUUCGGACUCUCGUCCACAACAAAAGAGGGGGCGUCGACGGUGAGUAUGAACCAUCCCAGAGUAUCACUUCAGAAUCAGCUCCGACUCGCAUGUCUACCUCAUUCCAGUUACAUGACACCCAUUUACCUAAACUUCUACCUCAGUUGCCCAGGCCUUUCUAGAUUACAUCUACAAACUUCAUGGCCUACCCCAGACUGUAGUGAGUGACAGGGAUGUUGUGUUCUUGAGCAAGUUUUGGCGGUCUCUUUUUGAUCUCCAAGGAGUCCAACUACAUCACUCCACAGCUUAUCAUCCACAAUCAGAUGGUCAGACUAAAGCUGUCAACAAAUGUUUGGAAGGCUAUCUUAGAUGUAUGUGCACAGAUAGGCCUAAGGAUUGGGCUCAUUGGCUACCAUUAGCAGAAUGGUGGUAUAACAUCACAUAUCAUUCUGCCACUAAAUUGACUCCUUUUGAGGUGCUCUAUGGUCAAAAACCUCCCUUACACAUGCCUUAUAUUCCAUACAGCUCCAUGGUGGCUGAAGUUGAUAGAAGCUUGCAAGCCAGGGAAAUAACAAUCAGACUACUAAAACAUCAUCUUGCACUUGCUCAAUCACGAAUGAAAGCAUUGGCAGAUAAGAAGAGAUCCUUCCACAUAUCAUUCUGCUACUAAAUUGAAUCCUUUUGAGGUUCUUUAUGGUCAAAAACCUCCCUUACACAUGCCCUAUAUUCCAUACAGCUCCAUGGUAGAUGAAGUUAAUAGAAGCUUGCAAGCCAUGGAAACAACAAUCAGACUACUAAAGCAUCAUCUUGCACUUGCUCCAUCAAGAAUGAAAGCAUAGGCAUAUAAGAAGAGAUCCUUCAGAGAGUUUCAAGUGGGAGAUAUGGUGUUUGUAAGGUUGCAACCUUACAGGAAAAUGUCCUUAAAAGGUCACUCAUAUCACAAGCUCAGCCCCAAAUAUUUUAGUCCUUUUCAAGUACUCAAGAGAAUUGGAUCUAUGGCAUACCAGCUUCAACUUCCAUCUCAUGCUAAGAUACACUCCACAUUUCAUGUAUCUCAGCUUAAGAAGUGUGUUGGUUCUCAUAAUGUGAUCUCUGAUUUACCAGUCACAUUGUCCUGGAUCCUGAAAGCAUACUGGAAACCAGAGUAGUGACAAAACACAACAGACAAUGUCAGCAAUAUUUGGUGAAGUGGUUUAACUGCCCUCCUGAAGAUGGCACUUGGAUGGAUGUUGCUACUUUCAAACAUCAGUUUCCCCAAUUUGUCCUUGAGGACAAGGACUCUUAACGGGGGGAGGGGGGUAGUUGUUAUAUGCUAAAUAGUCAAGAAGGGUAUUGUAGACAUUUUAUACAAAAGCUGUUAUACAGUUAUAAGAGCAGUAACAGUUAGCUUGUUAGAAAUCGGUUAGUGAAGCUCCACUGUAGAAACAUGCUAUAAGAAGAACACUGAUGCAUUGUAACGGGAGUAGUAGUUGAAUAAUAAAUUCUCUCUCUUCUUCUCUAUCUUGAUCAAUUGUGAGUAUAGGAGUGUUUUGUUCAGAGGUUAUUCUUCUUCUUAAUCUCUUAGAUUCACUUCCAAUUUCAACCUCCAUUGUUGAAAUAGACAACAAAUAGUUCCUACGGUAUCUGCCCAUAGUACUUCAUUCACAAAUACGGGAGGAACUAUCAAAAAGUUGCUUUAUGCUUCCAAUUACUUCCCCAGAGCUGCUAGGAGAGACCAGCAUUCACAUAUCAAGCGAUCAUAUAUCAGAUGCUCAUUGUUGAUGCAUUGUAUUACCUUUGUCUAGGCCAUAAUCGCCUCCAAAGGUACUAGAUUUUUUAAUAUUAUUUAUAACUACAAAUUCUAGCCUAUUUUAUGCUCCUUUUUCUUGGGUUUUAGAUUAAAAGUGUCUACAAGUAUUCCCAAAACUUAUUGUGCUUGGUUGUAGUUUUUAGUCAAAAAGAGACAAGGAUGUCAUAACCAGCUCAAAAAGGAGUGGAACCUGCACAAGUUCAAAGCUGAGUCCCAAGAGCGC
rnacentral:lncRNA from 1 species